CGGUAACAGGAAGCAGCUUGCUGCUUCGCUGACGAGUGGCGGCCGGGUGAGUAAUGUCUGGGAAACUGCCUGAUGGAGGGGGAUAACUACUGGAAACGGUAGCUAAUACCGCAUAACGUCGCAAGACCAAAGAGGGGGACCUUCGGGCCUCUUGCCAUCGGAUGUGCCCAGAUGGGAUUAGCUAGUAGGUGGGGUAACGGCUCACCUAGGCGACGAUCCCUAGCUGGUCUGAGAGGAUGACCAGCCACACUGGAACUGAGACACGGUCCAGACUCCUACGGGAGGCAGCAGUGGGGAAUAUUGCACAAUGGGCGCAAGCCUGAUGCAGCCAUGCCGCGUGUAUGAAGAAGGCCUUCGGGUUGUAAAGUACUUUCAGCGGGGAGGAAGGUGAUGAGGUUAAUAACCUUGUCAAUUGACGUUACCCGCAGAAGAAGCACCGGCUAACUCCGUGCCAGCAGCCGCGGUAAUACGGAGGGUGCAAGCGUUAAUCGGAAUUACUGGGCGUAAAGCGCACGCAGGCGGUCUGUCAAGUCGGAUGUGAAAUCCCCGGGCUCAACCUGGGAACUGCAUUCGAAACUGGCAGGCUAGAGUCUUGUAGAGGGGGGUAGAAUUCCAG
rnacentral:rRNA from 1 species